UUUUUUUUUUUUUUUUUUUUUAAAGAUUUUAUUUACUUAUUUACGAGAGACACAGAGAGCAAGAGAGGCAGAGACACAGGCAGAGGGAGAAGCAGGCUCCAUGCAGGGAGCCUGACGUGGGACUCGAUCCCAGGACUCCAGGAUCAUGCUCUGGGCCAAAAGCAGGUGCUAAACCCGCUGAGCCACUCACCGAUCCCAGCACUGGAAGUUUUGAGGUCAGUCUUAGUCAGAGGUCACACCCUGUUAUUUCUUUGGGUUGUGGACAUGGGGUGUUACCACAUGUUAUCUACCAUCCUUUGAAAUGUUGAUUAGAUUAGUCCCUAGCUUUUCAACAUCUGGAUUCUUUAAGCCAUUGAAGUUUUAAUCUGUCUGGGAUAAUCAAUGUAUCGUAGGGUGGGAAAAUUACUGUAGUACUUGCUUGGAGAAGGGACAAAGGGUCUUCACCUGCACUGGAAUUUCUUUUUUUGUUUUUCCCCACCUGCUCUUUGGCCACAUUUCCAUAGCUUUGCCUAACAGGGAUGCUUGUAAUUCUGUAUAUGUGACAUAGUAGUUGAAAGGCAAGCUUUGGAGAUGAGAGCCCCAGGUUCCAGCUGUAUUGCUUUGUGACCUUGGGCAAGUUAUCUAUUCCCUGUGUGUUCUUUGUAAAACUGGGAAUAUGAAUAUUCCCAGGUAGUACCUACCUCUCUCAUAGGGUAGUCAAGAGGAUUAUAUAAAUUAAUGUUUCACGAGGUCUGGCUCAGAGUUAGUGACCAGUAAAUGUUAGUUGUUGCAUUAAUAGUAUUGAUAUUAUGUUAAGUUUUUGUUGUUUCUGUGAGGUUGCUGGUUUUUGGAAUGCUAAAGGUAUUUGUGAUCUUCUGAAUAGGUCAGGAUUUUGAAUACUGCCUUUUUUUAGUGGCAGGUAUUUACUGAACACCUGUUGUGUCAGGCAUUGAUCUAAGUGAGCAAGACAUGAAAAUCCCUGCCUUCUUGAAACUUCUGUUUAAGGAAACAAACUGCACAAAGCAAAAUAGAUGACCCAUCACUCAUCUUAUUGAAAUUUGGUAUUCGACUUUGUAUAUUGAAGCCCGUGUUAAGCAGUCCUAUCAGUCUUCACCAUUAGAUCUUUUUUUUUGUUUCUCUUGCUGUGCUUCAGAAUGUUUGGUGCCAGGAGCACCUUAAAAGCAUGGAACUAGUUUCUUUGUUUCCAUCUAUGGCUCAGUCUUAUUAUAAGGCAGUCUUACACUCCUCUUAUUUCCUUGACUUACUACUUAAAUUGGCUGUUACAAACUUCCCUUUUGAUCCUCAAAUUUCAUUUCAUUUCAUUUUUUUUUCUUUUUUUUAAAGAUUUUAUUUAUUUAUUCAUGAGAGACAUAGGCAGGGAGAAGCAGGCUCCCUGUGAGAAGCCUGAUGGAGUACUAGAUCCCAGGCUCCCAUCCCAGGGCUUCGGGAUCAUGACCUGAGCCAAAGGCAGAUGCCUAACCAUUGAGCCACCCAGGUGCCCACCGUCCCUAAGUUUCUGCUCUGCAUUGUUUACAGAAGGGAUGCUCCUCUCCAGUUCAUUACUUGUUGCUCAACCAUAUCACCUCUUAAGAGAAGGGAUAUUAGAAACCUUUUAAAAGAAAUAGUCCCUGACUAAUCUAACUAUACUUUUCCUUCAUCUCUUCUGUAUUUUCCACCUUCUAUGUAUUGUUACCUGAGACAUUUAACUAGUUUAUUUUCUGCCUUUAAAAACAAUAUAUUUUUCUUGGGCAGCCCCCGUGGCUUAGGUUUAGUGUUGCCUUCAGCCCAGGGCGUGAUCCUGGAGACCUGGGAUAGAAUUCCAUGUAAGCUCCAUGCACCGGGAGCCUGACGUGGGAUUCGAUCCCGGGUCUCCAGGAUCACGCCCUGGGCCAAAGGCAGGCGCCAAACCGCUGCGCCACCCAGGGAUCCCUAAAUACAGAUUAUUGAUAAAGAUAAGUCACAGAAAACACAGAUAUAAAGGAAAAUUAAUAGAUUUAAGUUUUUUUUAAGAUUAUAGGGCACUUACUCCAAAAGUAAUCUAAAUGUGCUUCCAUUUAUUAUUCAGACACUAGGAAAGAUUUUCAGGUGGAUUUUACUGAUUUGUGUUUUUUUUUUUUUUUUUUUUAAAUGGCAAACUAUUCAUGUAAAACUGAAUAUCAAGAGUAUGAAGAGUAGAGGGGCCUAUGGGCUCCCUGGAUGGCUCAGUCCCUUAAGCUCCUGCUCUUGGUUUCAGUUUAGGUUGUAAUCCUAGGGUCCUGAGAUCAAGCCCCAUGUGGGGCUCCGUGCUCAGUGGGAAGUCUACUUGAGAUCAUUUUCUUUUUCUUUUUCUCCCACCUCCUGCUCGGGUGCUCACAUGUGUUCUUUCUCUAAAAUAAAUGGAUAGAUUUCUUAAAAAAAAAAAAAAAAGUGUAGGAGGCUUAUGAGAUAUGAGAUAUGAAUGCCAUAUGUGUAAAAUAGUCAUAGAAUCAAAUAUAUACUAAUGGAAAAAGCAAGUAUCAAAGUUCAUCAUUGGGAGAACCUUGGAUCACAUCUAAAUUUCUUCUUUCUUUUAUUACUUACUAAGUUGAGGGCUCUCUAACUUAGGACU
rnacentral:lncRNA from 1 species